CCACAUUGGGACUGAGACACGGCCCAGACUCCUACGGGAGGCAGCAGUGGGGAAUAUUGCACAAUGGGGGAAACCCUGAUGCAGCGACGCCGCGUGGAGGAAGAAGGUCUUCGGAUUGUAAACUCCUGUUGUUGGGGAAGAUAAUGACGGUACCCAACAAGGAAGUGACGGCUAACUACGUGCCAGCAGCCGCGGUAAAACGUAGGUCACAAGCGUUGUCCGGAAUUACUGGGUGUAAAGGGAGCGCAGGCGGGAAGACAAGUUGGAAGUGAAAUCUAUGGGCUCAACCCAUAAACUGCUUUCAAAACUGUUUUUCUUGAGUAGUGCAGAGGUAGGCGGAAUUCCCGGUGUAGCGGUGGAAUGCGUAGAUAUCGGGAGGAACACCAGUGGCGAAGGCGGCCUACUGGGCACCAACUGACGCUGAGGCUCGAAAGUGUGGGUAGCAAACAGGAUUAGAUACCCUGGUAGUCCACACUGUAAACGAUGAUUACUAGGUGUUGGGGGAUUGACCCCCUCAGUGCCGCAGUUAACACAAUAAGUAAUCCACCUGGGGAGUACGACCGCAAGGUUGAAACUCAAAGGAAUUGACGGGGGCCCGCACAAGCAGUGGAGUAUGUGGUUUAAUUCGACGCAACGCGAAGAACCUUACCAAGUCUUGACAUCCUGCGACGGUGCUAGAAAUAGUACUUUCCUUCGGGACGCAGAGACAGGUGGUGCAUGGUUGUCGUCAGCUCGUGUCGUGAGAUGUUGGGUUAAGUCCCGCAACGAGCGCAACCC
rnacentral:rRNA from 1 species